rnacentral:rRNA from 1 species
CAGUCGCGGUAAUACGUGGAAGACUAGUGUUAUUCAUCUUUAAUAGGUUUAAAGGGUACUUAGACGGUUGAUUAAGCCUCAAAAGGUACUAAUCAACUAGAGUUUUAUGCAAGAUGGGGAGUACUAAAGAGUGUAGAGAUGAAAUUCUGUCAUACCUGACUUGGAACAGACAACGGCGAAAGCAACCUUUUAUGUAAAAACUGAMGUUGAAAGACGAAGGCUUAWGACACCAACAGGAUUAGAUACCCCAGCAGUCUAAGCAGACAAUGAUGAAUGUCAUAGAUUAGAAUUAUAAUUUUGUCUAUAAAUGAAAGUGUAAGCAUUCCACCUCAAGAGWAAUGUGGCAACGCASGAACUGAAAUCAUUAGACCGUUUCUGAAACCAGUAGUGAAGUAUGUUGUUUAAUUUGUCGGUCCGCAAAACACCUUACCACAAUUUGAAUAGUUUUAUUUUAAAUACUUUGUUUAAAAUAAUAUUACAAGCGUUGCACGGSUGUUUUCAGUUAAUGUCGUGAGAUUUUGGUUAGNUCCAUAAAAUUAACGNAAACCCUUGCUUUAUUUAUCAAUAUAAAGUAGUUCUCCGCUAUAUUGGAUAUGAUAAAAGGGAAUAAGACAAGUCCAUCUGGCCUUAAUAUUGUGGGCUAUAMACGURCCACAU